AGAAACACUGCACUGACUUCUUCUGAUGAGUACGUAGAAUAUGAGCAUAAAUCUGUGCAAGAUGAUUCAACUUCGAGAAGUGAGCAGCAGGUGGCAAAGUGCUCAUCCGGUCCGCUGUUCGGGCAACGCAUCCACCUCUCAUACACAU
ensembl:antisense_RNA F17C11.20 ncRNA